rnacentral:siRNA from 1 species
AGAUCAUGUUCGCAGUUUCACC